rfam:Ixodes scapularis strain Wikel colony gcontig_1107729184540, whole genome shotgun sequence.
GUCAGGAUGGCCGAGUGGUCUAAGGCGCAAGACUCAAGGUUUAUAUCUUGCCCUAACGAGGGUCUGAGGUUUCUGGUCCACAAAUGUGGGCGUGGGUUCGAACCCCACUCCUGACA